CACAGAUGUGUCACAAGCCGCGCUCCGCUCUUGGAGGGUGGACGGAGCAAGCAGGGCAAAUCCAUCACCCAACAACUUACAGCACAAGACCUGUGGAAGGUUUAUUCAAAAAUGAGAGCUGGAAUAUGGUCAUCUUCUUUACAUUUCUUUGUGCUUCAAGCAAUUGGACAAUGAGGAAAGGCUAAAGAAUGAGGAACAAAAAGGUGUAGAACCUUCUAAGAAAUGAAAAUGCAGACAG